rnacentral:rRNA from 1 species
UCAAGUGAAGAAGCGCAUACGGUGGAUGCCUUGGCAGUCAGAGGCGAUGAAAGACGUGGUAGCCUGCGAAAAGCUUCGGGGAGUCGGCAAACAGACUGUGAUCCGGAGAUGUCUGAAUGGGGGAACCCACCUGAGAUAACUCAGGUAUCUUGCACUGAAUACAUAGGUGCAAGAGGCGAACCAGGGGAACUGAAACAUCUAAGUACCCUGAGGAAAAGAAAUCAACCGAGAUUCCCUUAGUAGUGGCGAGCGAACGGGGACCAGCCCUUAAGUUGAUUCGAGAUUAGCGGAACGCUCUGGAAAGUGCGGCCAUAGUGGGUGAUAGCCCUGUACGCGAAAAUCUCUUGUCAAUGAAAUCGAGUAGGACGGGGCACGAGAAACCUUGUCUGAACAUGGGGGGACCAUCCUCCAAGGCUAAAUACUACUGACUGACCGAUAGUGAACCAGUACCGUGAGGGAAAGGCGAAAAGAACCCCGGAGAGGGGAGUGAAAUAGAUCCUGAAACCGUAUGCGUACAAGCAGUGGGAGCCCACUUUGUUGGGUGACUGCGUACCUUUUGUAUAAUGGGUCAGCGACUUAUAUUCAGUGGCAAGCUUAACCGAAUAGGGGAGGCGUAGCGAAAGCGAGUCUUAAUAGGGCGUUUAGUCGCUGGGUAUAGACCCGAAACCGGGCGAUCUAUCCAUGGGCAGGUUGAAGGUUAGGUAACACUGACUGGAGGACCGAACCGACUACCGUUGAAAAGUUAGCGGAUGACCUGUGGAUCGGAGUGAAAGGCUAAUCAAGCUCGGAGAUAGCUGGUUCUCCUCGAAAGCUAUUUAGGUAGCGCCUCAUGUAUCACUGUAGGGGGUAGAGCACUGUUUCGGCUAGGGGGUCAUCCCGACUUACCAAACCGAUGCAAACUCCGAAUACCUGCAAGUGCCGAGCAUGGGAGACACACGGCGGGUGCUAACGUCCGUCGUGAAAAGGGAAACAACCCAGACCGUCAGCUAAGGUCCCAAAGUCAUGGUUAAGUGGGAAACGAUGUGGGAAGGCUUAGACAGCUAGGAGGUUGGCUUAGAAGCAGCCACCCUUUAAAGAAAGCGUAAUAGCUCACUAGUCGAGUCGGCCUGCGCGGAAGAUGUAACGGGGCUCAAACCAUGCACCGAAGCUACGGGUAUCACCUUUUGGUGAUGCGGUAGAGGAGCGUUCUGUAAGCCUGUGAAGGUGAGUUGAGAAGCUUGCUGGAGGUAUCAGAAGUGCGAAUGCUGACAUGAGUAACGACAAUGGGUGUGAAAAACACCCACGCCGAAAGACCAAGGUUUCCUGCGCAACGUUAAUCGACGCAGGGUUAGUCGGUCCCUAAGGCGAGGCUGAAAAGCGUAGUCGAUGGAAAACAGGUUAAUAUUCCUGUACUUCUGGUUAUUGCGAUGGAGGGACGGAGAAGGCUAGGCCAGCCUGGCGUUGGUUGUCCAGGUUUAAGGUGGUAGGCUGAAAUCUUAGGUAAAUCCGGGGUUUCAAGGCCGAGAGCUGAUGACGAGUGUUCUUCUGAACACGAAGUGGUUGAUGCCAUGCUUCCAAGAAAAGCUUCUAAGCUUCAGGUAACCAGGAACCGUACCCCAAACCGACACAGGUGGUUGGGUAGAGAAUACCAAGGCGCUUGAGAGAACUCGGGUGAAGGAACUAGGCAAAAUGGCACCGUAACUUCGGGAGAAGGUGCGCCGGUGAGGGUGAAGGACUUGCUCCGUAAGCCCAUGCCGGUCGAAGAUACCAGGCCGCUGCGACUGUUUAUUAAAAACACAGCACUCUGCAAACACGAAAGUGGACGUAUAGGGUGUGACGCCUGCCCGGUGCCGGAAGGUUAAUUGAUGGGGUUAGCGCAAGCGAAGCUCUUGAUCGAAGCCCCGGUAAACGGCGGCCGUAACUAUAACGGUCCUAAGGUAGCGAAAUUCCUUGUCGGGUAAGUUCCGACCUGCACGAAUGGCGUAACGAUGGCGGCGCUGUCUCCACCCGAGACUCAGUGAAAUUGAAAUCGCUGUGAAGAUGCAGUGUAUCCGCGGCUAGACGGAAAGACCCCGUGAACCUUUACUAUAGCUUUGCACUGGACUUUGAAUUUGCUUGUGUAGGAUAGGUGGGAGGCUGUGAAGCGUGGACGCCAGUCUGCGUGGAGCCAUCCUUGAAAUACCACCCUGGCAACUUUGAGGUUCUAACUCAGGUCCGUCAUCCGGAUCGAGGACAGUGUAUGGUGGGUAGUUUGACUGGGGCGGUCUCCUCCUAAAGAGUAACGGAGGAGUACGAAGGUGCGCUCAGACCGGUCGGAAAUCGGUCGUAGAGUAUAAAGGCAAAAGCGCGCUUGACUGCGAGACAGACACGUCGAGCAGGUACGAAAGUAGGUCUUAGUGAUCCGGUGGUUCUGUAUGGAAGGGCCAUCGCUCAACGGAUAAAAGGUACUCCGGGGAUAACAGGCUGAUACCGCCCAAGAGUUCAUAUCGACGGCGGUGUUUGGCACCUCGAUGUCGGCUCAUCACAUCCUGGGGCUGAAGCCGGUCCCAAGGGUAUGGCUGUUCGCCAUUUAAAGUGGUACGCGAGCUGGGUUUAGAACGUCGUGAGACAGUUCGGUCCCUAUCUGCCGUGGACGUUUGAGAUUUGAGAGGGGCUGCUCCUAGUACGAGAGGACCGGAGUGGACGAACCUCUGGUGUUCCGGUUGUCACGCCAGUGGCAUUGCCGGGUAGCUAUGUUCGGAAAAGAUAACCGCUGAAAGCAUCUAAGCGGGAAACUUGCCUCAAGAUGAGAUCUCACUGGAACCUUGAGUUCCCUGAAGGGCCGUCGAAGACUACGACGUUGAUAGGUGGGGUGUGUAAGCGCUGUGAGGCGUUGAGCUAACCCAUACUAAUUGCCCGUGAGGCUUGACCAU